UCAGAAAAUAAUAUAUAGUAGUAUAUAAAUUUUGGAGAUUUAUUGAGAGAAAUCUUUUCUGAA
rnacentral:tRNA from 1 species